GACGAACGCUGGCGGCGUGCUUAACACAUACAAGUCGAACGGUAAGGCCCUUCGGGGUACACGAGUGGCGAACGGGUGAGUAACACGUGGGUGAUCUGCCCUGCACUUCGGGAUAAGCCUGGGAAACUGGGUCUAAUACCGGAUAGGACCACUGCCUGCAUGGGUGGUGGUGGAAAGCUUUUGCGGUGUGGGAUGGGCCCGCGGCCUAUCAGCUUGUUGGUGGGGUGAUGGCCUACCAAGGCGACGACGGGUAGCCGGCCUGAGAGGGUGACCGGCCACACUGGGACUGAGAUACGGCCCAGACUCCUACGGGAGGCAGCAGUGGGGAAUAUUGCACAAUGGGCGCAAGCCUGAUGCAGCGACGCCGCGUGAGGGAUGACGGCCUUCGGGUUGUAAACCUCUUUCAGCACCGACGAAGCGCAAGUGACGGUAGGUGCAGAAGAAGGACCGGCCAACUACGUGCCAGCCGCCGCAGUAC
rnacentral:rRNA from 1 species